rnacentral:rRNA from 1 species
CCUACGGGGGGCUGCAGUGAGGAAUAUUGGACAAUGGGGGGAACCCUGAUCCAGCCAUGCCGCGUGUGUGAAGAAGGCCCUCGGGUUGUAAAGCACUUUCAGUGAGGAAGAACGCCUGGUGGUUAAUACCCAUCAGGAAAGACAUCACUCACAGAAGAAGCACCGGCUAACUCCGUGCCAGCAGCCGCGGUAAUACGGAGGGUGCGAGCGUUAAUCGGAAUUACUGGGCGUAAAGCGCGCGUAGGUGGCUUGAUAAGCCGGUUGUGAAAGCCCCGGGCUCAACCUGGGAACGGCAUCCGGAACUGUCAAGCUAGAGUGCAGGAGAGGAAGGUAGAAUUCCCGGUGUAGCGGUGAAAUGCGUAGAGAUCGGGAGGAAUACCAGUGGCGAAGGCGGCCUUCUGGACUGACACUGACACUGAGGUGCGAAAGCGUGGGUAGCAAACAGGAUUAGAUACCCCAGUAGUC